AUUUUAAAGGGCAGUUUUCCACUGACAUUUUCUUUCAACAAACAGAAAAUAAUCUCUGGGUGUCUUUCGUACUAGGUCGCAGCCUUUCACGAUGUGUUUAUUGCGACAGUUGAUAUCGCGAUGACGGGACAAAAAAACGAUAUAUUGUGCAGCCCUCAAAAUAUUUUCUUUUUUAUUAU